AAUAAAAUUGAGAAUGGAAAUGGGGAAUGUGCCAAAGAGACAACAACCCGACCAUAGAAAAAAACACAACAGCAGAAGGUCACCAACAGGUCUUCAAUGUAGCGAGAAAUUCCCGCACCCGGAGGCGUCCUUCAACUGGCCCCUAAACAAAUUUAUACUAGUUCAGUGAUAAUGAACGCCAUACUAAUUUCCAAAUUGUACACAAGAAACUAAAAUUAAAAUAAUACAAGACUAACAAAGGCCAGAGGCUCCUGACUUGGGACAGGCGCAAAAAUGCGGCGGGGUUAAACAUGUUUGUGAGAUCUUAACCCUCCCCCUAUACCUCUAGCCAAUGUAGAAAAGUAAACGCAUAACAAUACGCACAUUAAAAUUCAGUUCAAGAGAAGUCCG
rnacentral:lncRNA from 1 species